CAGCCGCCGCGGUAAUACCGGCAGCCCGAGUGAUGGCCGCUAUUAUUGGGCCUAAAGCGUCCGUAGCCGGCCAGACAAGUCCGUUGGGAAAUCCACGCGCUCAACGCGUGGACGUCCGGCGGAAACUGUCUGGCUUGGGGCCGGAAGAUCUGAGGGGUACGUCCGGGGUAGGAGUGAAAUCCCGUAAUCCUGGACGGACCGCCGGUGGCGAAAGCGCCACAGAAAGACGGACCCGACGGUGAGGGACGAAAGCUAGGGUCUCGAACCGGAUUAGAUACCCGAGUAGUCCCUGUCUCUUAUA
rnacentral:rRNA from 1 species